AAAGCCUGACGCAGCGACGCCGCGUGAGGGAUGAAGGUUCUCGGAUCGUAAACCUCUGUCAGAAGGGAAGAAAAACCAGAGGAGUAACUGCCUUUGGCCUGACGGUACCUUCAAAGGAAGCACCGGCUAACUCCGUGCCAGCAGCCGCGGUAAUACGGAGGGUGCAAGCGUUAAUCGGAAUCACUGGGCGUAAAGCGCACGUAGGCGGCUUUGUAAGUCAGCGGUGCAAGCCCUUCGCUCAACGAAGGAAUUGCCGUUGAUACUGCUUAGCUUGAGUUUGUGAGAGGAUAGUGGAAUUCCAGGUGUAGGAGUGAAAUCCGUAGAGAUCUGGAGGAACAUCAGUGGCGAAGGCGACUAUCUGGCACAAUACUGACGCUGAGGUGCGAAAGCGUGGGGAUCAAACAGGAUUAGAUACCCUGGUAGUCCACGCUGUAAACGAUGGAUACUAGGUGCUGGAGGCUUGACUUUCAGUGCCGUAGCUAACGCGUUAAGUAUCCCGCCUGGGGAGUACGGUCGCAAGGCUGAAACUCAAAGAAAUUGACGGGGGCCCGCACAAGCGGUGGAGUAUGUGGUUUAAUUCGAUGCAACGCGAAAUACCUUACCUAGGCUUGACAUCCGGAGAAUCCCUCC
rnacentral:rRNA from 1 species